GGGACGCGCCGGUGGCCGGGAUGCGGGGCCUGGCAGCGGCCUGGAGAGUCGACUGCAAUUUGCAAGCUGCGCGCCCCGCCCCGCUCCUGGCCCCCCUGCCCAAUCCUGGACUCUGCCUCUCUUCCAUUUCCUCCCCCCGACCCCUCAACACCGACCUUCGGCGGCCUCCACCCAGUCCUGCACACCUAGGCUGGCGGAGCAAACUCUCACCGCUCGCCCGCGGGGAGUAUCUUUCCAUACAGGUAAAACCGAAAACCGAUUUUUCCAAAACUGUACCCGGACGGCGCCUGCUCUCAGUACCUGGGGGAUGAGAGGGAAAUUCUUUGUACAUAUUUGUAUAAAAAUUAUUGACUUUCCUUUUGGGGUUUUUAUUUUUUUAAGAAAAAAAAAUUCAGUAGAUUUAGAGCUCUGAACUUUCAUUUUUUCUGAAGGUUCACUCUCCGCAGUUUUAUGUGAGAAAAAAUGUAUAGAGACGUUGGGAGAUUUUAAAUAUAAAAUUUUCAGAAGACGAAAGUCAUUCUAUAUAAAAGUCUGUUUAUAUAUAAUGAAUAUAUAUGGUAUUCUAAAUGUUAUUCCAUCGUGUUGUACACAACUUUGUAAAUAAAAUUUUUAAAGGC